CAGCACCUCAAGUGGUCAGGAUGAUUACUGGGCCUAAAACAUCCGUAGCCGGCGCUGUAAGUUUUCGGUUAAAUCUGUACGCUCAACGUACAGGCUGCCGGGAAUACUGCAGCGCUAGGGAGUGGGAGAGGUAGACGGUACUCGGUAGGAAGGGGUAAAAUCCUUUGAUCUAUUGAUGACCACCUGUGGCGAAGGCGGUCUACCAGAACACGUCCGACGGUGAGGGAUGAAAGCUGGGGGAGCAAACCGGAUUAGAUACCCGAGUAGUCC
rnacentral:rRNA from 1 species